AUUUCUUCUUUGUGUUAUCUUGAAUUUCACGUGUUUCCCCAAUAUGGCUAUUUCGAAGUGUCUGUCUGAAAGCUCACAUAUCUCUGUCUCUCCAGGAUUGGCCCCCGAUGGCUUGUUUAGUUCAUUUGUUGAGAUCAUGUUUUCCUGAAUGAUCUUGAUGCUUGUGGAUAUUCACUGGUCUCUAGGCAUUGAAUAGUUAAGUAUUUAUUACAGUCUUCACAGUCUGCACUUGUUUGUACCUAUCCUGCUUAGAAAGGCUUUCCAGGCAUUUGAAUGGAGUUGGGUGUUGUAAUCGAAACUGCAGUUUGAUCACUGCAGUCAUAUCUGCAUUAGAGGGCACCCCAAGCUCAGCAACGCUGUGGCUCUUGCAGACUCAUAGAAGUACCACCUUGGUGGUCUUAGACAAGAUCUGGAAGAAUUUUCUGGGUUACCAGGCAGAGACUCUUGUUCUCUUCCCUUACUUUCUUUCAAACAAACGGAGUCUCUCUGUGCCAAGCUGCCUGGAGCUGGGGCAUGGGUGAAACAAGCCACCACUUCUUGACCUCUGUGACCACCAUCUCUGGGACUGCACUGCAUCAGACCUGAAGCCAGCAUGGUACUGGGUCUCACCCAAGGCCCAUAGUAACCAUUGCCUGGCUACUGCUGAUGUUUUCUCAAGGCCCUAGGGCUCUACAAUCAGCAUAUGGGAAAGCCAGCCAGGCUUGUGUCCUCCCCUUCAGAACAGCAAGUCCCCCCUAGCCCUGGGUAGGUCCAGAAAUGGCAUCUGAGAGCCAGGGUCUGGAGUCAGAAACCUUAGGGAUCUAACUUGCUGUAUUAUACUAAGGCUGAGCUGGCACAUAAGCCACAAUACAACUUCUUUCCUACUCUUUCCUCCUCUUUCCACAAGUUGAGAAGUCUCUCCCUAUGGCCACCACCAGCCCAGGCCUAUGGCAAACACUGCCUGGCUACACUGAUGUUCACUCAAGGCCCAAGGACUCUUCAGUCAGCUUGUGAUGAAUGCUGCCAGGCCUGAGUCUCUUCCUUUAGGGCAGUGGGCUCAAUCCUGGCCUUGAGUAGGUUCAGAAAUGUCACCUACAAGCCAAGGCCUUGAAUCAGGAACCCCCAUGUCCCUGCUUAGUCCUCUACCCUACUGUGGCUGAGUUGGUACCUAAGCUGCAUGACAAAGUCCCCUUUACUCUUUGCUCUCCUUUUCUCAGGCAGAAGAAGCCUCUUCUCACAGCAACCAUAGCAUGGGAACGUGUGGAUCACAUUUAACCCAGCAUGUCUCUGAGUCUUACCCAAGGCUCACACACACAGAUUCUGUCUCUGCGCCACACAGCCACUGCUGGGGGAUGGAGGAGGGAUGCUGUCAGCAAUUCAAGACUGUAAUUUCUACCCUCUUCAGUGCCUUUUUCUGUGAUACACAGUUAAAAUCAGUGGGUUUCAAAGCCACUUCAAACUGCCUGCAAAUGGUGGACCCCAAUCAAAGAGUUAGUGAAGUUUUUCCUUAAAAUAAGACUCCCAACACAUCCCUCACUCUGUGUGGGGAUUAGGAGUCUUAGUAGAAACUGCGUAUGACAUUCAGCCAGCCACGCUAGAUUCAGAGAGAUUUCACAGCAGUUGAACUCUCUCCUCCUGACAUCUAUGCCUGAAAGCACAGAUAUCCUAGCUGGUUAAAGGGCAGUAUGCAUUGCUUCUUCCAGGAAAAGGCCAACACCUCCCACUGUUGAAAGUAUCUUCACACUCUCAAUUCAUCCUAAUGCAAACUAGGACGGUGGCAGAGAAUGCCAACAGCCCGGCCGUCUUCCUGGAAAACUGGUCUGCAUGGAAGGAGCAUGAUCUCCCCUCUUGUCAGAAGGGCUCAUGGAGGUCAAAGGUACUUGGAGUUUGUGAGGUUCCCAUGAUCCUGUGUAAAGCAGGAUGCGAGUUCAUUCCCAGUAAACCAAGCCUGAAGGCAUUCUGUGCCCUGUGUCUCCCUGCCAAGACAAGAGAGCUGAAGCCACGUGGUGGUAUGGGUGGGCUGCUGGCCAUGGCUGAACCAGUUGUCAUCAGUGCCAUGGUCUUCAUCAUUGUCUUCGAAGCAGUCGUUCAUGUAACCAACUCUACAUCAGAUACUCUAGUGUUUUGCAAAAUGCUUGGGCUCGAAAGCCCAACUCCUGGUUAGAGUCCUGCCUUUGUCACCUGCUGACUAUGUGACCUCAGGCAAGCUACUUACCCUCUCUGUGCAGCAAUGCACUCAUCUGCAAAAUGGGCAAAGUAAUAGUAAGUACUUAAUUGGGCUGCUAUGAUGGAAUAAAUGAUACGAAGCCCACA